rnacentral:rRNA from 1 species
UGCAGUCGAGCGAGAAGUUUGAAAAAUGAGUUUUCGAACAAGUGAUUCAAACGGAAAGCGGCGGACGGGUGAGUAACGCGUAGGCAACCUGCCCCGUGCAGAGGGACAGCCUCGGGAAACCGGGAUUAAGACCUCAUGAUAUCGGGUUAUCACAUGGUAAUCCGGUCAAAGAUUUAUCGGCAUGGGAUGGGCCUGCGUCUGAUUAGCUGGUUGGUGGGGUAACGGCCUACCAAGGCGACGAUCAGUAGCAGAACUGAGAGGUUCAUCUGCCACAUUGGAACUGAGACACGGUCCAAACUCCUACGGGAGGCAGCAGUGAGGAAUAUUGCACAAUGGGCGAAAGCCUGAUGCAGCAACGCCGCGUGAGCGAAGAAGGCCUUUGGGUCGUAAAGCUCUGUCCUUGGGGAAGAAACAAAUGACGGUACCCUUGGAGGAAGCCCCGGCUAACUACGUGCCAGCAGCCGCGGUAAUACGUAGGGGGCGAGCGUUAUCCGGAAUUAUUGGGCGUAAAGAGUGCGUAGGUGGUCUUGUAAGCGUGGGGUGAAAGGCAGUGGCUUAACCAUUGUUAGCCUUGCGAACUGUGAGACUUGAGUGCAGGAGAGGAAAGCGGAAUUCCUAGUGUAGCGGUGAAAUGCGUAGAUAUUAGGAGGAACACCAGUGGCGAAGGCGGCUUUCUGGACUGUAACUGACACUGAGGCACGAAAGCGUGGGGAGCAAACAGGAUUAGAUACCCUGGUAGUCCACGCCGUAAACGAUGAGCACUA